rnacentral:rRNA from 1 species
AGAGUUUGAUCCUGGCUCAGGAUGAACGCUGGCGGCGUGCCUAAUACAUGCAAGUCGAGCGAACGGACGAGAAGCUUGCUUCUCUGAUGUUAGCGGCGGACGGGUGAGUAACACGUGGAUAACCUACCUAUAAGACUGGGAUAACUUCGGGAAACCGGAGCUAAUACCGGAUAAUAUUUUGAACCGCAUGGUUCAAAAGUGAAAGACGGUCUUGCUGUCACUUAUAGAUGGAUCCGCGCUGCAUUAGCUAGUUGGUAAGGUAACGGCUUACCAAGGCAACGAUGCAUAGCCGACCUGAGAGGGUGAUCGGCCACACUGGAACUGAGACACGGUCCAGACUCCUACGGGAGGCAGCAGUAGGGAAUCUUCCGCAAUGGGCGAAAGCCUGACGGAGCAACGCCGCGUGAGUGAUGAAGGUCUUCGGAUCGUAAAACUCUGUUAUUAGGGAAGAACAUAUGUGUAAGUAACUGUGCACAUCUUGACGGUACCUAAUCAGAAAGCCACGGCUAACUACGUGCCAGCAGCCGCGGUAAUACGUAGGUGGCAAGCGUUAUCCGGAAUUAUUGGGCGUAAAGCGCGCGUAGGCGGUUUUUUAAGUCUGAUGUGAAAGCCCACGGCUCAACCGUGGAGGGUCAUUGGAAACUGGAAAACUUGAGUGCAGAAGAGGAAAGUGGAAUUCCAUGUGUAGCGGUGAAAUGCGCAGAGAUAUGGAGGAACACCAGUGGCGAAGGCGACUUUCUGGUCUGUAACUGACGCUGAUGUGCGAAAGCGUGGGGAUCAAACAGGAUUAGAUACCCUGGUAGUCCACGCCGUAAACGAUGAGUGCUAAGUGUUAGGGGGUUUCCGCCCCUUAGUGCUGCAGCUAACGCAUUAAGCACUCCGCCUGGGGAGUACGACCGCAAGGUUGAAACUCAAAGGAAUUGACGGGGACCCGCACAAGCGGUGGAGAAUGUGGUUUAAUUCGAAGCAACGCGAAGAACCUUACCAAAUCUUGACAUCCUUUGACAACUCUAGAGAUAGAGCCUUCCCCUUCGGGGGACAAAGUGACAGGUGGUGCAUGGUUGUCGUCAGCUCGUGUCGUGAGAUGUUGGGUUAAGUCCCGCAACGAGCGCAACCCUUAAGCUUAGUUGCCAUCAUUAAGUUGGGCACUCUAAGUUGACUGCCGGUGACAAACCGGAGGAAGGUGGGGAUGACGUCAAAUCAUCAUGCCCCUUAUGAUUUGGGCUACACACGUGCUACAAUGGACAAUACAAAGGGCAGCGAAACCGCGAGGUCAAGCAAAUCCCAUAAAGUUGUUCUCAGUUCGGAUUGUAGUCUGCAACUCGACUACAUGAAGCUGGAAUCGCUAGUAAUCGUAGAUCAGCAUGCUACGGUGAAUACGUUCCCGGGUCUUGUACACACCGCCCGUCACACCACGAGAGUUUGUAACACCCGAAGCCGGUGGAGUAACCUUUUAGGAGCUAGCCGUCGAAGGUGGGACAAAUGAUUGGGGUGAAGUCGUAACAAGGUAGCCGUAUCGGAA